GUCUGUGUCCACACCACCCUAAGCACACACCAUCUAAUCUGAUCUUGGAGGCAAAGCAGGGUCAGGCCUGGUUAAUAAUUAGAUGAGAAAGAAA
ensembl:rRNA 5S_rRNA 5S ribosomal RNA